rnacentral:rRNA from 1 species
UACGUAGGGGCCAAGCGUUGUCCGGAUUUACUGGGCGUAAAGGGCUCGUAGGCGGCCAACUAAGUCAGACGUGAAAUCCCUCGGCUUAACCGGGGAACUGCGUCUGAUACUGGAUGGCUUGAGUUUGGGAGAGGGAUGCGGAAUUCCAGGUGUAGCGGUGAAAUGCGUAGAUAUCUGGAGGAACACCGGUGGCGAAGGCGGCAUCCUGGACCAACACUGACGCUGAGUGAGCGAAAGCCAGGGGAGCAAACGGG